ACGGGUGAGUAACACGUGGGCAACCUGCCUGUAAGACUGGGAUAACUUCGGGAAACCGAAGCUAAUACCGGAUAGGAUCUUCUCCUUCAUGGGAGAUGAUUGAAAGAUGGUUUCGGCUAUCACUUACAGAUGGGCCCGCGGUGCAUUAGCUAGUUGGUGAGGUAACGGCUCACCAAGGCAACGAUGCAUAGCCGACCUGAGAGGGUGAUCGGCCACACUGGGACUGAGACACGGCCCAGACUCCUACGGGAGGCAGCAGUAGGGAAUCUUCCGCAAUGGACGAAAGUCUGACGGAGCAACGCCGCGUGAGUGAUGAAGGCUUUCGGGUCGUAAAACUCUGUUGUUAGGGAAGAACAAGUACAAGAGUAACUGCUUGUACCUUGACGGUACCUAACCAGAAAGCCACGGCUAACUACGUGCCAGCAGCCGCGGUAAUACGUAGGUGGCAAGCGUUAUCCGGAAUUAUUGGGCGUAAAGCGCGCGCAGGCGGUUUCUUAAGUCUGAUGUGAAAGCCCACGGCUCAACCGUGGAGGGUCAUUGGAAACUGGGGAACUUGAGUGCAGAAGAGAAAAGCGGAA
rnacentral:rRNA from 1 species